UACGAAGGGGGCUAGCGUUGUUCGGAAUUACUGGGCGUAAAGGGCGCGUAGGCGGCUUCGCUAGUCGGGCGUGAAAUGCCUGGGCUUAACCCGGGAAUUGCGUUCGAUACUUCGAGGCUAGAGUGUGGGAGAGGUUGGUGGAAUUCCCAGUGUAGAGGUGAAAUUCGUAGAUAUUGGGAAGAACACCGGUGGCGAAGGCGGCCAACUGGACCACAACUGACGCUGAGGCGCGAAAGCGUGGGGAGCAAACAGG
rnacentral:rRNA from 1 species